AUUGAACGCUGGCGGCAGGCCUAACACAUGCAAGUCGAGCGAGCGGCGGACGGGUGAGUAAUGUAUGGGGAUCUGCCUGAUAGAGGGGGAUAACUACUGGAAACGGUGGCUAAUACUGCAUACUAUCGGAUGAACCUAUAUGGGAUUAGCUAGUUGGUGGGGUAAAGGCUCACCUAGGCGACGAUCUCUAGCUGGUCUGAGAGGAUGACCGGCCACACUGGGACUGAGACACGGCCCAGACUCCUACGGGAGGCAGCAGUAGGGAAUAUUGCACAACGGGCGCAAGCCUGAUGCAGCCAUGCCGCGUGUGUGAAGAAGGCCUUGGGGUUGUAAAGUACUUUAAGCGGGGAGGCGUUACCCGCAGAAGAAGCACCGGCUAACUCCGUGCCAGCAGCCGCGGUAAUAC
rnacentral:rRNA from 1 species